rnacentral:rRNA from 1 species
GCAUCGAUGAAGAACGCAGCAAAAUGCGAUAAGUAAUGUGAAUUGCAGAAUUCAGUGAAUCAUCGAAUCUUUGAACGCACAUUGCGCCCGCCAGUAUUCUGGCGGGCAUGCCUGUUCGA